GACGAACGCUGGCGGCGUGCUUAACACAUGCAAGUCGAACGGACGAAGAGGAGCUUGCUCCUCCAAGUUAGUGGCGAACGGGUGAGUAACGCGUGAGCAACCUGACCUUCAGAGGGGGAUAACAUCUGGAAACAGAUGCUAAUACCGCAUGAGACCACAGAAUCGCAUGGUAAAGGGGUCAAAGGAGAAAUCCGCUGAAGGAGGGGCUCGCGUCCCAUUAGAUAGUUGGUGAGGUAACGGCCCACCAAGUCGACGAUGGGUAGCCGAGCUGAGAGGCUGAACGGCCACACUGGAACUAAGACACGGUCCAGACUCC
rnacentral:rRNA from 1 species